rnacentral:ribozyme from 1 species
UGCCCGGCAACUCCUAUCCAUACCUCCUCGUGGUACCGGCCGGAAACUAUGAGCAACCUUGGGGAAGAUCGGAUAACCCAGCUCGGUGGG